rnacentral:tRNA from 1 species
GGGCACAUGGUGUAGUUGGUUAUCACAUCCGCUUAGCAAGUAUAGGCUUUUGCGGGGGGUGCUGGGUUCAAUUCCCAGUGUGUCCA